GUGGUCCUACGGGAGGCAGCAGUGGGGGAUAUUGCGCAAUGGGCGAAAGCCUGACGCAGCGACGCCGCGUGAGGGAUGAAGGUCUUCGGAUCGUAAACCUCUGUCAGCAGGGAAGAACGGUCACUGUGCUAAUCAGCAGUGAAUUGACGGUACCUGCAAAGGAAGCACCGGCUAACUCCGUGCCAGCAGCCGCGGUAAUACGGGGGGUGCGAGCGUUAAUCGGAAUUACUGGGCGUAAAGCGCUCGUAGGCGGUAUGUCAAGCCAAGGGUGAAAUCCCGGCGCUCAACGUGGGAACUGCCUGUGA
rnacentral:rRNA from 1 species